UCCAGGGUAGAUUGCUAUGGAGGCUGGCAAGCCCCAUUGUGAAAGCUGGUGGGGAUGAGCUGAUAAAAGUUUGUCCAUGCAGUGCAUCAAGAGGAAUUUUUGGGGGGUUUGGUGAUCGUUGUCCCUGUCCUCCAGCACAUGUCCCCCAAGAGCUUGUUCUUCUCAGGGAUCUGGAAAACGACUGCAAUCCUUCACCCGGAAUCUGCUCUCUGUACAAAUACCCAGGUCUGAAUGAAGGGAGAUACCAGAGUGAUCACACGGAAGGAGAACUGUUAUCAGAUCUGACAGUAUCAUCAGUGCUGCAAAGCUGCUGUUCUCCUCCUCCAAGAAAGAAGGUGGCAAAGGUGUCCAGCCUAUUACAGUUCCCUGAAAUCCCUCCUUAAAACUCACCUUCACCAUGGUUUCUCCAAAGAAUUUGAUAACUGGUCCCUGAUGAACCAGACCCCUACAGCAAGCCUAUGCG
rnacentral:lncRNA from 1 species